rnacentral:tRNA from 1 species
UCAUUUGCAGCUCAGUGGAUAGAGCGUUUGUUUCCUAAGCAGAAGCUCAUAGGUUCGACCCCUACUUGACGAG